UACGUAGGGGGCGAGCGUUGUCCGGAUUUAUUGGGCGUAAAGAGCGUGUAGGCGGCCAGGUAGGUCCGUUGUGAAAACUCGAGGCUCAACCUCGAGACGUCGAUGGAAACCAUCUGGCUAGAGUCCGGAAGAGGAGAGUGGAAUUCCUGGUGUAGCGGUGAAAUGCGCAGAUAUCAGGAAGAACACCUAUGGCGAAGGCAGCUCUCUGGGACGGUACUGACGCUGAGACGCGAAAGCGUGGGGAGCGAAUGGG
rnacentral:rRNA from 1 species